CCGCAGCUAACGCAUUAAGUACUCCGCCUGGGAAGUACGCUCGAAAGAGUGAAACUCAAAGGAAUGGACGGAGACCCGCACAAGUAGCGGAGCAUGUGUGUUGAUUAGAAGCAACGCGAAGAACCUUACCUAAGCUUGACAUCCCAAUGACCUCUCCGUAAGCGGAGAGUUCCGUUCGGGGACAUUGGUGACAGGUGGUGCAGGGUUGUCGUCAGCUCGUGUCGUGAGAUGUUGGGUUAAGUCCCGCAACGAGCGCAACCCUUGUCUUUAGUUGCCAUCAUUAAGUUGGGCACUCUAGAGAGACUGCCAGGGAUAACCUGGAGGAAGGUGGGGAUGACGUCAAAUCAUCAUGCC
rnacentral:rRNA from 1 species